rnacentral:rRNA from 1 species
UGCAACUCGCCUACAUGAAGUCGGAAUUGCUAGUAAUCGCGGAUCAGCAUGCCGCGGUGAAUACGUUCCCGGGCCUUGUACACACCGCCCGUCACACCAUGAGAGCCGGUAACACCCGAAGUCGGUAGUCUAACUUUUAGAGGACGCCGCCGAAGGUGGGACUGGUGAUUGGGGUGAAGUCGUAACAAGGUAUC